rnacentral:rRNA from 1 species
GACGAACGCUGGCGGCGUGCUUAACACAUGCAAGUCGAACGGAAAGGCCCUGCUUGCAGGGUACUCGAGUGGCGAACGGGUGAGUAACACGUGGGUGAUCUGCCCUGCACUUCGGGAUAAGCCUGGGAAACUGGGUCUAAUACCGGAUAGGAGCCAUUUUUAGUGUGAUGGUUGGAAAGUUUUUUCGGUGUAGGAUGAGCUCGCGGCCUAUCAGCUUGUUGGUGGGGUAAUGGCCUACCAAGGCGGCGACGGGUAGCCGGCCUGAGAGGGUGGACGGCCACAUUGGGACUGAGGUACGGCCCAGACUCCUACGGGAGGCAGCAGUGGGGAAUAUUGCACAAUGGGCGCAAGCCGGAUGCAGCGACGCCGCGGGGGGGAUGACGGCCUUCGGGUUGUAAACUCCUUUCGCUAGGGACGAAGCUUUUUGUGACGGUACCUAGAGAAGAAGCACCGGCUAACUACGUG